rnacentral:rRNA from 1 species
GCGUUCCUACGGGAGGCAGCAGUGGGGAAUAUUGCACAAUGGGGGAAACCCUGAUGCAGCAACGCCGCGUGAGUGAAGAAGUAUUUCGGUAUGUAAAGCUCUAUCAGCAGGGAAGAAGAUGACGGUACCUGAUUAAGAAGCCCCGGCUAACUACGUGCCAGCAGCCGCGGUAAUACGUAGGGGGCAAGCGUUAUCCGGAUUUAUGGGGUGUAAAGGGAGCGCAGACGGCAGUGCAAGUCUGGAGGGAAAGCCCGGAGCCCAACCCCGGAACUGCUCUGGAAACUGGGCGGCUAGAGUACUGGAGG